rnacentral:rRNA from 1 species
GAUGAACGCUAGCGGCAGGCUUAACACAUGCAAGUCGAGGGUAUGGUAGCAAUACCAGAGACCGGCGCACGGGUGCGUAACGCGUAUGCAAUCUACCUUUACAGAGGGAUAGCCCAGAGAAAUUUGGAUUAAUACCUCAUAGUAUAGCUGUACCGCAUGGUACUACUAUUAAAGUUACAACGGUAAAAGAUGAGCAUGCGUCCCAUUAGCUAGUUGGUAAGGUAACGCUUACCAAGGCUACGAUGGGUAGGGGUCCUGAGAGGGAGAUCCCCCACACUGGUACUGAGACACGGACCAGACUCCUACGGGAGGCAGCAGUGAGGAAUAUUGGACAAUGGGCGCAAGCCUGAUCCAGCCAUGCCGCGUGCAGGAUGACGGUCCUAUG